GAUGAAAGCUAGCUGCAGGCUUGACACAUGAAAGUCGAGUGACCGGCGCACGGGUGAUUAACACGUAUCCAACCUGCCCUUUACUCGGUGAUAGCCUUUCGAAAGAAAGAUUAAUACCCGAUAUAAAGGAUGGGGAUGCGUUCCAUUAGGUUGUUGGUGAGGUAACGGCCCACCAAGCCUUCGAUGGAUAGGGGUUCUGAGAGGAAGGGCCCCGAAAUGGGAACUGAGACACGUUCCAAACUACUAAGGGAGGCAGCAGUGAGGAAUAUUGGUCAAUGGGCGUUAGCCUGAACCAGCCAAGUAGCGUGAAGGAUGAAGGCGUAGGGGUCGUAAACUUCUUUUAUAUAAGAAUAUGUAUUAUAUGAAUAAGGAUCGGCUAACUCCGUGCCAGCAGCCGCGGUAAUAC
rnacentral:rRNA from 1 species